rnacentral:lncRNA from 1 species
AUGCUUGCAAGGCAAAUGCUUUACCCACUGAGCCAUUUGCUCAGCUCACCAUUUAAGGAUACUUUCCUGCUUUCAUAGUUGCUAGCUUAUAAAUUAUCUAAUUUCAAGCACUAAUGCUCCCAAUUUCCUAGGAUGUGUGAAUAUGUGGACCAUCUGCAUGAACAUUUCAAAUAUCCCAUGGUGAUCAAACAUGCUUCAUAUCUGCCUCCCAAGGUAAGCUGAAGCCUAGGACAUGUUGGAGAUGUGCUGUCAGAAGCCAUUGUGUCUCUGAAAGAAUUGAUUUUCAAUAACAAAUGGUUGAUGAAUAAUGAGUAUCAACGAAGGUCAGAGUACAGCUAGCUUUAUGUCAACUUGGCACAAGCUAGAUUCAUUAUGGAAGAGGGAACCUCAAUUGAGAAAAUGUCAAGACUGGCCUGUGGGCAAGACUAUGAUGCAUUUUAAUUGACGUUGAUAUGGGUGUGCCCAGCUUACUGGGGGACAGUGUAUAGAGUCCUAGAUGAUAUAAGGUGGACCCACCCCUGGACAGGUAUAGUCCACAAUGUAAGAUAAACUAAGGAAGCCACGAAGAACAAGGCAGUAAGUAACAUUGUUCAGUGGCCUCUGCCUAAGUUCCUGCUCUGAUUUCCCUUGGUGUGGAGUUGACCUGAGAUGUAAGCUGACAUAAAUCAUCUCCUCGAGGUGCUUUUUGGUCAUCUUUAUCACAAUAGAAAUCUUAAGACAGAGCUAUUGUCAUAUUCCCAGUUGCUGAGCCCUUAAAACACACAUUCCUUCUUCCCAAAGGCCAACAGCAUCUACACAUCAAUGACCUGGGCCUUUUAUCCAGAUUAUGGCUCAUUUGCACCAAACAGAUAUUAAGCUACUAAAGUUUUAGUUUCACUUACAAUCCAGGUAAGUAGCCAAUAAAGUAUGACCUUCCAUCUUCUUUCAAACAAAAACCUUUGCAUAUUAAAAUUUAAAAAUAUUUUUAUGUAUGUGAGUACACUGUAGCUGUCCUCAGACACACCAGAAGAGGGCAUCGGAUCCCAUUACAGAUGGUUGUGAGCCACCAUGUGGUUGCUGGGAAUUGAACUCAGGACCUCUGGAAGAGCAGUCAGUGCUCUUAACCGCUGAGCCGCUCCUAAAGUUUUAUUUUUAAUUACAUGUAUGUCGGUAGGCGCCCAUGAUGGACAAAUGAGGGAAUCUCCUGGAACUGGAAUUACAAAAGGUUGCUUGACAUAGGUGCUGGGAACCACCCCGGUGUUUUACAAGAGCAGCAAGUGCUCUCAACUGCUGAACCAUCUCUCCAGCCCCCAAACUUAAUUUCUUAAAUACUGAAUUACCUCUUGAUUAGAGGUAGAAGAAACCAGUGUUAACACGUGUCAAUCUGUCUCUGCUAGGAUGCAGGCUUCUCAACAAAAAUGAAGAAUCUGUGAAACUUCUUGCUGCUCAAGAAUUAUGUGUUCAGCCCUAACACUUUUUUUCUGAAGUGAAAUGCUUCAUGCUUUUAGUGUUCUUUAAAAAUCUUUGUCAAGUGCUAUACUUUUGAAAACUAUGCAACAUUUCAUAAUUCCUCAUUCGAAUACUUGUUAUAAAUCAGAAAAAACUGGUUCUGCAGUACUGUGAGCAAUAAAAAGGAUCCACUGAUUUGUCCUGAAAUGGUUUAGAAUCCUGUUAUCAGUCAUGCCCCACUGAAAUUAAUGGGAACAAAUUGUAUUUCUUCACACUGCAAAACUCUUACAAAACUGUCUUAGCUAGGCAUUGGAGCUCCCAGUUAUAAUCCCAGCAUGCAGAAGCUGGAGUUUUGCAACAAGUUUGAGGCUAGCAUACUGAGUGCCAGGACUAAAGUUUGAGACACAUCCUCCAUACCACCUCCCUCAAACAAAACUUAAAACGUGAUUUAAACAAUAUCUGGUGAUGGUUAACAUAUUUACAUGCCUCUAGCAUGUAAACUCUUAGCUUAUACAGACUGUACUCUGACUACUUUCCUUUUUUUAACCAGAUGUUUAGUCUAUUAAGCUGACUGAUCUUAUAAAAUUUGCUGUUCUAGCAAGAUAAAA